rnacentral:rRNA from 1 species
CAGUAGCCGCGGUAAUACGGAGGGUGCGAGCGUUAAUCGGAAUUACUGGGCGUAAAGCGUACGCAGGCGGUUUGUUAAGUCAGAUGUGAAAUCCCCGAGCUUAACUCGGGAACUGCAUUUGAAACUGGCAGGCUAGAGUCUCGUAGAGGGGGGUAGAAUUCCAGGUGUAGCGGUGAAAUGCGUAGAGAUCUGGAGGAAUACCGGUGGCGAAGGCGGCCCCCUGGACGAAGACUGACGCUCAGGUACGAAAGCGUGGGGAGCAAACAGGAUUAGAUACCCGAGUAGUCCCUGUCUCUUAUAC